rnacentral:lncRNA from 1 species
CUCAGGUGUCCAGGUGUCUCUCCAGGUUCACACUUGACAUUUCAGGUCAAGAAUAAAGCUACUGACCAGCAUAAGUCUGUUAAGAGAAACUGAUUCCCACCACCAGGCCAUCACUCAUGUGGACAGAGGGUUUGCGACGCCCCAGUGAAGACCCAGGGUGGUAGGACUACUGCCUACAAGGAAUCACAAGCCCGGGAGGGUGGGACAGCCACAGAGCUCCUGGCCCCUCACUCAGGCCACGAUGCCACAUCCACCACCCACACCCCAAGGGAGGCACAGGAACCACCCCAACAGCUGCUGUAACAUUCAGAUUCCUGGGCCCACCCUCAGCAAUCUGACUCUGGUGCUCAGGGGUGACUAAGAAUAUGUUUCAGUCCCCUGAUUAUCAAUCUGAACUUUUUUUUCAUAUAAAAUUUUUAUUGUAAAAGUAUUAAGUACUUGUAAAAAGUGAAACAACUCAAAGAUUUACGAAGGCCUUCCUCCUCUGCGGUCACCAGUGUUAACUGUCACCUGGAUUCCUAGCUCAUCCCUCUCUGCUCAUCAUAGCAGCUGACACCAGGUAUACAGACAUGGACCUAAGUCUUAUUUUAAUAGUUGUGUAGAAGUCCGUAGUUUAGAACUCCCACAGUUCUCUCAACCAUUCCAUGUUUGAUGGACACUCAGGCUCCAUUAGCUUUAAGCCACUGCUUUAAGAUGACGCACCACCCAUCUUUAUGAAAACCUGACACUGCGGCAGGUGAGCGAGUGCUUCCCUGGUAAUUUUAAUAGAUGUUGCUGGAUUGUUUUCCCAAGAAUGUAGCAAUUCAGAUUCCACCAGCAGCGUGUGAAUGUGCCAGCUUCCCCACAUCCAUGACCUAACCAGCUGUUGGCAGCCUUUGCAGGGCCCGCCAAGCGUGGAUGAAGACUGGGAUGCUGUUUUUCCUUCUGCGCUGAACGCCUUUUAUGGCUCAGAGGCUGUUUGGAUUUCCUCCUACGGAAUUGUCUGUUCAUAUCAUUUGCUCAUUUUUGCUUGUCGAUUUGUAGGAAUUUUUUAUAUAUUAGAGAUGUUAACCCUGUGUCACAUGAGGCCCAGAUCUCCUCCCCAGGCUAUCUUUGUUAUUUUAACCUUAAUUAUUUGGUUGUUUCUAUCAUAGAAAUGUUUUCUGUUUUUAAACUGACACCUAUUUUUUUGCAUUUUUAAAAAGGAAGGUUUUCUCAUCCCAAAGUAAUACAACUUUCUCUUAAAUUUAGUUGUAAUAUAAAUUUGUGAAUGUGUG